UCACAGCCUCGUAAACACAGUGCAGCAGCGUCGAGUGUCCCGCAGACAGGAAGCGGGUCGUGUUUAGCUUGUCCCGUACGAGUGACUCUGUUUUCGGGGUAAAUAACUUGCUGAAGUCGACACGACGCUGUUCCCUGGAGGAGAAGAUGAGUGCGUGGGAAGCAGAGCCGCGGGCCCGGUGUGGACGAGUCGAGCCGGAGAAGACGGGCGCACAGUCCCUGAGUUACGCCUCAGCCCCCCCCCCCACACACACACACAAACAAAGAGGCGUUAGGCUGAGACGCUGAAAGUCCGGAUUUAAAGUGCAGAAAAUUAAGCCAUUGAAUCUGCCUGUCCAUGACGUACAAAGACACACUAUGAGCCAGUAUGAUCCGACCAGACCUUACAUCAGCAUUGAGGAGUAGUCGGAGAAGA